UACGGGGGGGGGUAAGCGUUGUUCGGAAUCACUGGGCGUAAAGCGCACGUAGGCGGCUUCUUAAGUCAGGGGUGAAAUCCUGGAGCUCAACUCCAGAACUGCCUUUGAUACUGGUGAUCUUGAGUCCGGGAGAGGUGAGUGGAACUGCGAGUGUAGAGGUGAAAUUCGUAGAUAUUCGCAAGAACACCAGUGGCGAAGGCGGCUCACUGGCCCGGUACUGACGCUGAGGUGCGAAAGCGUGGGGAGCAAACAGG
rnacentral:rRNA from 1 species